AAAAGUUUGCUCAUGGUUCUGUGACGCGGCCACCGACGUGGAUUUACAUCCCUAACAGUACAGCAGCAGCUCCUCACCCUGAAGAACAAUGGACAGAUUCUCACAAGCAGUGUUUGAGUCUGAAGAUUCUGAUACUGAGGAUGGUUCAGAUGUGCUUAGUUUUGGAACCAAUAUGUUUUGUCCGAAUAGAUUGUUUCCCAUGGCACCUGAAGUCAUGAAUGAUCGCUGGAAAAGAAUAGAUCCAGAGGUGAGGAAGACUGUUGGACACAUGCUGCACGUCUCAGUGUUCUGGUGGCACAUCCUGUUCCGGCAGCAGGAGAACAGCAUCACCACAGACUGGGCUGUGGAGGUCGGAUUCUUGGACACUAAUGUUUCGAAUGAUUUAAGUUUAAAAAGACUGCAAAAAAUUGAAAUCCUGGAGCUCAUUCUUGACGCAAUGGAAAUUUUACUGGCUAAACCAGAUACAGAGAGGAGAGUAAAAGCUGUGCUCUCAUUAAGCAAUGAUUUGCAACUGCACCAGCAGGAUUGUCUUUCAAAAGUAGAGAGCUGGCUUGGGGAAUCUGGUCAGCCGGGCCUGACCAUGAAGCUUUUAGAACUCGGAUCUAAAAAAACUCGCUGCAGAGUUCUAAAUUUUGUGUUCUUUGAGUAUUCUCGUUACAUACACAUCAUGUCACAUAACGAAAAGAUGAUGAUGAGGGAGUUAUCACAAAGUCCGGAGGAGUGGUCAAUACUGAGAAGUGAAGAAAUGAAAAACAAAGGCAAUAUAGAUUUCCAAAAGAAAAAAUAUGAUUUGGCUUUAAAAUGGUACACAAAGGCCAUUAAACACCAUACCAACAACCACCUGCUUUAUGGAAACAGAGCGCUCUGCUAUAUUCGAUGUGAAAAGUAUUUAAAAGCAAUGGGAGAUGGCAAACGAGCUAUUAUACUGCAACGAGACUGGGCGAAGGGCCACUAUCGCUUCUGCGAUGCCUUGUUCUUUAUGGGAGCCAGAGGGAAAGCCGUGGAAUCCAACAUCGCAGCUCAGAACGUAUGCAGCGCCGAUUCUGAGGGAAUGAAAGACCUCCAGCAGCAGUACAGCCGCUUUCAGACGGAACUCGCUGAACUUCAAAGUGAGGGCAGAGCCUCAGCAACUUCAGAAGGUGAAAAAAGACAGAGAAAAACUGGUUCUAAGAAAGGAUCUAACAAACAACCGGAGGGUGCAUGUGGACUAGAUCCACUGGCCCAAAAUGUUCCAUUACACACGGCUCCAGAUAAUGAUUGCACACCCGCUGCUAAUAAAGAUGCGAAAGCAGAAGACACAAAAAUUCUACAGGAAACCUCAGGACCGUUCGCGGCUCAAGCUGAGGACGGCGCAAAGGGGGCCAACGACGCUAAAAUCAGUGAAAUGGGGGACCGGAAAACAAAAAAACUUGUGCCACAAGCUUCAGAGAAGCAGUCUGUCAGGAGUAAACACCAUCCUACACAAGAAAAAUCGCAGGGCAGCGGCAGCAGCACUGAAGUGGGCAGUAAGGAGCAGUUUUGCGCCGCAGUGCAGGAUGCUCAUACGGCUCUGACUGACCAGCGCUGCCACAAUGCCGAACAGGCCUUCUGUCUGGCUCUUAGGAUUCUGGACUCCAUUGGAACCAAGGUUCUCGGCAUAUCUGAACUAGAUAAAGCUUUGCUGAUCUACGGUUAUGCUACAGCCCUGAUAGAAAUCGGCAAACCUGAGGAAUUGUCAGAAGCUCAGAAACAGUUAAAUAAACUAAACUCUUCACAAGAUAGAACGUUUAAGUCUUUGGUCCAUUACGGGUUUGGGAAGGUUUUUCUAAAGGAGAACAGAUUUAAAGAUGCCAAAGAAGAAUUUUCAAACGCUUUGACAAUGCUUCGGAAGCAAAUCAUGCCUGGAAAACUCACCUGGCCAACGACUAAAGUAACCGUCAAAGAGACCCAACCUGACGUUUUAAAGGACCUGCUUGAGAGCUUUAUUCAGGUGUGCAAAUUUCCCCCUAAGCCGGAUGCAAAUUGUCGACAUCAGCCUUGUCUGGGUCACGCCAAUCAGAUCUACUUUACUGAUCCAGAUUUUAGGGGUUUUAUUCAGCUGUCAUGCAGUGAACGUUGCUGGGUGGAGUUUCAUAUUAAUUGCUGGAAAAAGCUCAAAGCGGCUUCAUUUCCUGAUAAGAAUGAUAAGGAUUUUCUUCAGAGUUCAUGUUUUACUCCUGACUGCACCGGUAAAAUUUGUCACAUCAUAAUUUUUGACUCUACAGGACUUAAAAAGUGUGAGUUUGAGUCGUCUGUUCCGAAGAGUCACAAUCCUGGAAAACUAAGAGUCAAACAGAAAUGUACAAGUCUUAAGAAGAUCAAAUCUAAAGAGAAUAGGAAGCAGAGACGAAAACAGAAGAGGGCGGCUGAGUCUAAACUUAAGGACGAGGUUAAUGAGUUAACACCAGAAGAAAACAAUAGCAAACAAGCAGAGAACAAUGUUGUCCAAACAUCACCCCGAAAUAGAGUUUUAUACGGAGACCGAGUUUUACAGCAAAUAUACGAAAGCAGAGAACUUUUUAACGAUGAGCUUCACAGUAUUUCUAAUAUGCUCGUACGUCUGAGACCGUGGAUGGACCUGGAUGAAGCUAAUGGCCACGAAAGCGUAUUAAAGGACCGGGCGGAGCCGCAUGUUCUAAGGGACCUGGUGGAUUUGUUGUUGGAAAGAGGGAACCGGGUCUGGGCGAGAAUUUUCGUUCAUAACCUCACAGACUGUAAAGACAUCAAACCUAAACUUUAUGAAUGGGCUCAGCAGCUUGACAAUACAGGUUUGAACAUUGCUGAUAAGUUUAUUUCUCAGUGCGGUGAACAUCUGGAGGAGUUCGAUUUCUCUCCUCUGCUCAAGUUCCCUCCACUGCAGGACCUGAGUGAGAAAUUUGGUCCCAUGCAGGAGCUGUUAGGAGACCCAGGGUUUACUUUACAAGACUACCUGAGACAAGCAGCGCCGCAGGAAAUGCGUCUGUUCGUGUGGGCUCUAGAGGAGCACAGAGAGCGCUACCCGUCCUGUUUUGCUUCGCUUGAUGAGUAUUUUGAGAUGGAUGCCGUAUGUUUAGUAAUUAAGAAGACAGACUUUGAGGACCAAUUAAGUUCAGUUUAUAAGAGUAAAGGCAAACAUCGAAAAAAGAAACAAAAAGAAUCGAAGUCGAUUUUAGUUUUGUCCGGGAUUGGAAGCAUCCCAAGAGAUGAAGAAGAUUUUUUCACUGAGGAAGAUUCACUGAUGUUCCUGAAUAACACUGAUCCCUUUAGUAUUCCGAAUCACCUAAGGGAGCAGGUAGAAGAGUUUGAGGGCCGAUAUGUCAACACAGGAGGGUUACCCCACUAUAAUAGAAUUUUGGACAAUCACCCAGAUCCAGCGAAAGAGAGUUUAUACGGUUACUUUGAACAAAUUCUGGAGGAACAUGGUCCUCUAGAGGCGUCAAAUCCACUCUUGGUGGGAGAGCUGGACAAUUUCCCCCCCGAAGCCCAGAAUUUAAUCGAAGUAGCCGGGGGACUCAAGCCUUUCCUACUGGGUUCUCUGAGAUUUGUAAGGUUCGACAACCUGAUCGGACUGAUGGAGCACUCCGUAAGCCUGCAGCAUGCCGUGGUGGAUUUUGUCCCUUUAUUUGAUCCCUUUUAUCCUCAUACAUACGGCGAUGACGAUUUGCAACCUACAGAACCUUCUCACCUCAACCCCACAGCCAAAGAAUUCCUGCCUCACGAUAUAUCUGAGACUAUUAAACCUGGAUUAGAAGGAGAGGAGUAUCCUGAUCACAUCCCUAAUGUCCCACUAAGCUUUAAUUCUGACGACCCUGGUUCUAAUAAUAACGAUGUUAUUUCUUAUUGUGAGGAAUUUAAUUAUAUGGAAGGUAGAAGAUCUAAACGUAAGACCACUUUUGUUCAGACUGUUGCAGAUUCCCAAGAUGACGUUGCCAUUAAUACUGAACCAUUUGCACCAUACGAAAAGAAUAACGGAGAUUUUACCCUGACAGAAAAAAACAACAUACAAAUGAAAAAACGCAUCCAAAAUAUACAAGAAACUCGUGAGAUUCUUCAAAAGGAAAGAAAAGACACGUGUUCUGAACUAGAGGACGAAGUGAAGCAAAUCCGAGAGCAAGCAGAGAUUGCCAAAAAAGAACUGGACAUGUUCCAAAAAAUGCUGGAGGAGGAGGUACAGAAAGGUCAGCAGGAGAAGAAAGACCACCAGGAGAUGGUGAAAGCCUUGAAGAGCGAGAACAAAGAGCUGGCAGAUCAGCACGACAGUUACUUCAAGCAAAUCCAGGAAAAGAACGUGGCUUAUCAGAAGGAGCUGGAUGAUUAUCUCGCAAAAAGUAACCAGUCUGCUGCUGAAAAAUCCAGUUUGGAGGAUGAGAUCAAGAGAUGCCAAAAUGUGCUGGCCAAAGCAACCGGUCGAUCACUGGCUGCCCAGACGUGCAUCCUGCAAAACAAGCGAGAACUAGGACUGUGCGGACUGAGGAAGUACAUCUCAGAUGGCAAGUCCACUCUACAGUACAUGACCGAAAUAUCAACCAGGGUGCCUCAUCCAGGCCUUCUAUCCAAUACUGAUGCCUGGAAGGCAUGCGUGCAGGCUGCUCAGGAGAGGAUCAGGUUGACGGAGAUGAGGUAUGAGGAGCAGCUUGAGCUUUUGAAGAAGGGUACCAACCUGAGCUCUCUUCCUCCAGUCUCAGUACCCAGCCUUCCUGUUUCUCCUCCUAUACCGGCAUUGCCGUAUCCUCUGUCCAACCAGCAACCCAAUUCCCGGCAGCCUCAUGUGCAGCGCUCUUACACCGAACCCUUGUACCCGGCUCAGCAGCAUCCUACCAGAAUUCGGCCACAAACUACUGAGAACCUACCUCCGCUCAAGCCUGCUCAGAGGGCCAUGCACACCCCGCCGGCAGCCGACGAGAGAGCCGCUGCUCCAGCCUCCGCUGUAGCCCCACCGGUGCAUCCCCAGCCUGCUGCUGUGUUCGAUAAGAUCAUAGAUCGCCUCAGCUCCAUGUUCCCUCACUACACCAGGCCAAUCCUCUCCAGGUUCAUUCAGGAAGUCCGCGCCAACAACGGUGGCACCCUGAAUAUGCUCACAUACGAACAGAUCAUCAACAGAGCAGCUCAGCUCAUCCUCGACCACCAGGAGCACUCGCAAAUGAACAUGCUGAGUGGGAACGGUGCUGGAAUGAGGGAGAACGUCGUGCCCAGUCCAACCCCUUCUCUCGAUUCGUCCAGAGCUACUCCGACCCCACCGCCGGCCCACGCCUGGAAGAGCGUAUCCUCGCACCCUCGCAACUCCUCAAAAGCGAAAUGGACCAAGUGCAAUGGCCCACCUUGACAGAGUUGUAGAAAGCCUCGAAGACACCAACACUCUUGGAACUGAGCUGCAGGUUCACCAGGCCCUCCAUAGUAAGCGUGAUUCCCUGAUGCUGCACGGCUUCCUUACUAUUGAUCACCACCACUCCAGCCAGGAUCUCCUGCACCAGCAGAAGAAACAAAGGAACGGUAGUUACUCAUUACACAAGGUUCAUCAGUAUACAAGGUUAUGUCGAACACAGUCAUGGACAAUUUUGUAUCUCCAGUUCACCUCACUUGCACGUUCUUGGACUGUGGAAGGAAACCGGAGCUCCUGGAGGAAACCCACGCAGACAUGGGGAGAACAUGCAAACUCCACACAGAAAGAACCCGGACCGCCCCACCUGGGGAUCGAACCCAGGACCUUUUGGCUGUGAGGCGACAGUGCUACCCACCGAGCCAUCGUGCCGCCCUAAUAGUAUUUUAAAUACAUACUGUAUAUUGCGCUACUUAGAUUCACUUUGACUUUGAAUCAAUGCAUUCAUUAGAUGCACUAUAACAGAACUUCAAUAUACAUAUCUUGCACUGACUAAAUCACCAACACGAUUCAUCUAAUAGUAACAUCAGUGUGCAUAUACAGUAAUUGAUUAUAUAAAUGCUGUUCAGAUACACUGUCCACCACUGUAAUAAGGUAUAGGCUCUCUUAUGCUGUAGCACUGAAGUAUUUAUAUAGUCUUAUCUAAUAUAUGAACUGUUUUUAAUGAUGUAUACAUUGGAAUAAAGUUCUACUUUCA